rnacentral:lncRNA from 1 species
CGGAGGACGGGACGACUCUCCUCGCUGUCCUGCUCGCAGCCGGGAUCCGCCGUCUCCCGCGCUCGCCUCCGCUCACCAUCGACCUGGACAACCCGCGCGCCGUGGAUGCGCUCGUCGGCUUCUUCCUUCAGAGAGUUCGGGAGGGCGCGGUGGCUGUGGCUGUGGCGGGGGAGGACGCGCCUCCGAUCCACGAGGCCGCGGUGGC